rnacentral:rRNA from 1 species
CCUACGGGAUGCAGCAGUGGGGAAUAUUGGGCAAUGGGCGCAAGCCUGACCCAGCAACGCCGCGUGCAGGAAGCAGGCUUUCGGGUUGUACACUUCUUUUGUCAGGGACGAAGCAAGUGACGGUACCUGACGAAUCAGCCACGGCUAACUACGUGCCAGCAGCCGCGUUAAUACGUAGGUGGCAAGCGUUAUCCGGAUUUAUUGGGUGUAAAGGGCGUGUAGGCGGGAAUGCAAGUCAGAUGUGAAAACUAUGGGAUCAACCCAUCGCCUGCCUGUGAAACUGUAUUUAUUGAGUGCUGGAGAGGCAAUCGGAAUUCCGUGUGUAGCGGUGAAAUGCGUAGAUAUACGGAGGAACACCAGUGGCGAAGGCGGAUUGCUGGACAGUAACUGACGCUGAGGCGCGAAAGCGUGGGGAGCAAACAGGAUUAGAUACCCUUGUAGUC